AGCAGUGUGGCUCAGUGGAUAGAGCCUGGGCUUGGGAGCCAGAGGUCAUGGGUUCAAAUCCCAUCUCUGCCA
rfam:Ornithorhynchus anatinus chromosome 7, whole genome shotgun sequence.